GCCCGGGUGGUGAAAUUGGUAGACGCAGGGGAUUCAAAAUCCCCCGCCGCAAGGCGUGCCGGUUCGAUUCCGGCCCCGGGCA
rnacentral:tRNA from 1 species